GGGGCCUUAGCUCAGCUGGGAGAGCGCAACACUGGCAGUGUUGAGGUCAGCGGUUCGAUCCCGCUAGGCUCCACCA
rnacentral:tRNA from 444 species